rnacentral:rRNA from 1 species
GCAUAUCAAUAAGCGGAGGAAAAGAAACCAACAGGGAUUGCCCUAGUAACGGCGAGUGAAGCGGCAACAGCUCAAAUUUGAAAUCUGGCCCUCGGGUCCGAGUUGUAAUUUGUAGAGGAUGCUUUUGGCGCGGUGCCUUCCGAGUUCCCUGGAACGGGACGCCUUAGAGGGUGAGAGCCCCGUACGGUUGGACACCAAGCCUCUGUAAAGCUCCUUCGACGAGUCGAGUAGUUUGGGAAUGCUGCUCUAAAUGGGAGGUAAAUUUCUUCUAAAGCUAAAUAUUGGCCAGAGACCGAUAGCGCACAAGUAGAGUGAUCGAAAGAUGAAAAGCACUUUGAAAAGAGGGUUAAAUAGCACGUGAAAUUGUUGAAAGGGAAGCGUUUGCGACCAGACCUUUUCCUAGGGGAUCAUCCGGUGUUCUCACCGGUGCACUUCCCUAGGUUCAGGCCAGCAUCGGUUUCUGUAGGGGGAUAAAAGCUCUGGGAACGUAGCUCCCUCGGGAGUGUUAUAGCCCUCUGCAUAAUACCCUUACGGGGACCGAGGACCGCGCUUCGGCAAGGAUGCUGGCGUAAUGGUCGUCAACGACCCGUCUUGAAACACGGACCAAGGAGUCGAACAUUUGUGCGAGUGUUUGGGUGUUAAACCCUCACGCGUAAUGAAAGUGAACGGAGGUGAGAGCCCUUACGGGUGCAUCAUCGACCGAUCCUGAUGUCUUCGGAUGGAUUUGAGUAAGAGCAUAACUGUUCGGACCCGAAAGAUGGUGAACUAUGCGUGGAUAGGGUGAAGCCAGAGGAAACUCUGGUGGAGGCUCGCAGCGGUUCUGACGUGCAAAUCGAUCGUCAAAUCUGCGCAUGGGGGCGAAAGACUUAUCGAACCAUCUAGUAGCUGGUUACCGCCGAAGU